AGUCAUAAGUUCGUGGCACAGGCUAAACUCGUCUGGAAACUAGAAGGACAGGAUGUUUUGCAAGUACUGAUAUGGGGCUCCUUAGGGUCUCGUAAUUGGAAUGAGUACAAUCUAAAUCCUUUAACGAGGAACAAUUGGAGGGCAAGUCUGGUGCCAGCAGCCGCGGUAAUUCCAGUUCCAAUAGCGUAUAUU